rnacentral:rRNA from 2 species
GGGGAAUUUUCCGCAAUGGGCGAAAGCCUGACGGAGCAAUACCGCGUGAGGGAGGAAGGCUCUUGGGUCGUAAACCCCUUUUCUCAGGGAAGAACACAAUGACGGUACCUGAGGAAUAAGCAUCGGCUAACUCCGUGCCAGCAGCCGCGGUAAUACGGAGGAUGCAAGCGUUAUCCGGAAUGAUUGGGCGUAAAGCGUCCGCACGUGGCUGUGUAAGUCUGCUGUUAAAGAGUGAGGCUCAACUAGAUAAAAGCAGUGGAAACUACACGGCUAGAGUACGUUCGGGGCAGAGGGAAUUCCUGGUGUAGCGGUGAAAUGCGUAGAGAUCCGGAAGAACACCAGUGGCGAAAGCGCUCUGCUAGGCCGUAACUGACACUGAGGGACGAAAGCUAGGGGAGCGAAUGGGAUUAGAUACCCCAGAAGUCCUAACCGUAAACGAUGGAUACUAAGCGUGGCUUGUAUCGACCCGAACCGUGUCGUAACUAACGCGUUAAGUAUUCCGCCUGGGGAGUACCCCGGCAAGGGCGAAACUCAAAGGAAUUGACGGGGGCCCGCACAAGCGGUGGAGUAUGUGGUUUAAUUCGAUGCAACGCGAAGAACCUUACCAAGGCUUGACAUGUCGCGAAUCCUGGUGAAAGCCGGGAGUGCCUUCGGGAGCGCGAACACAGGUGGUGCAUGGCUGUCGUCAGCUCGUGUCGUGAGAUGUUGGGUUAAGUCCCGCAACGAGCGCAACCCUCGUUUUUAGUUGCCAGCAUUAAGUUGGGCACUCUAGAGAGACUGCCGGUGACAAACCGGAGGAAGGUGGGGAUGACGUCAAGUCAGCACGCCCCUUACGCCUUGGGCUACACACGUACUACAAUGCUCCGGACAGAGGGCAGCAAGCAUGCGAAUGCAAGCAAAUCCCGUAAACCGGAGCUCAGUUCAGAUCGCAGGCUGCAACUCGCCUGCGUGAAGGAGGAAUCGCUAGUAAUUGCAGGUCAGCAUACUGCAGUGAAUUCGUUCCCGGGCCUUGUACACACCGCCCGUCACACCAUGGAAGCUGGUAGUGCCCGAAGUCAUUACUCCAACCUUUCGGGGAGGAGGAUGCCUAAGGCAGGACUGGUGACUGGGGU